ensembl:lncRNA
GAGGCAUCCAUACAUUUAGAGCACGGGCCUGUUAUCAGAAAAAAGUACAAGCCGGAGUUGAAUGGUGUUCAGUUUCACCUUCCUUCCUGUUGCUCUAUGACGUAGUUUGAAACAGAAACCACAAGUGAGUCAGUCUCGGGUCGAGGUUAGGAUUUCCAAAAUCAGAGUUCACACACAUGUAGCUCUUGAUCAUAUAUGUUCAUAUGUUAACAGUCUUUUUCUUCCCCUUCUUUAUUUCUGCGGGAGUCAGGUGGCAGGAGCUCUGUGGAGGUAUUUCAUCUCCAAAGGCAUUGAGUAUCUGGACACUGUGUUUUUCAUCCUGAGGAAAAAAUUUAACCAGGUCACCUUCCUGCACGUCUACCAUCAUUGCUCCAUGUUCACGCUCUGGUGGAUUGGCAUCAACUGAUGUCUGCUGUGUUGUAAGCUACUCACACUGUCCUCCUGCCACCCACUUGAUGCCAAUCCACCAGAGCGUGAACAUGGAGCAAUGAUGGUAGACGUGCAGGAAGGUGACCUGGUUAAAUUUUUUCCUCAGGAUGAAAAACACAGUGUCCAGAUACUCAAUGCCUUUGGAGAUGAAAUACCUCCACAGAGCUCCUGCCACCUGACUCCCGCAGAAAUAAAGAAGGGGAAGAAAAAGACUGUUAACAUAUGAACAUAUAUGAUCAAGAGCUACAUGUGUGUGAACUCUGAUUUUGGAAAUCCUAACCUCGACCCGAGACUGACUCACUUGUGGUUUCUGUUUCAAACUACGUCAUAGAGCAACAGGAAGGAAGGUGAAACUGAACACCAUUCAACUCCGGCUUGUACUUUUUUCUGAUAACAGGCCCGUGCUCUAAAUGUAUGGAUGCCUCUCAUGUUUCUAAAAGCUCUCUGAGUGACGUGUCCCUGGCAGGCUGACUGUAAUUUUCUGAACCAUGGGUACAGUGGAGAAUUAUUAACAGGUAGGGAUCUGGUUCCAAGGAAACUAAUUAUUGUAGACACAAAAGUCUUAAGAUAGUAAGUUACAUAAACAGCUGAAGUCCCACUACUAUAUUCAGAGUUUAUCUAUGCAAGCGUGUGUGUGUGUGUGUGUGUGUGUGUGUGUGUGUGUGUGUGUGUGUGU